rnacentral:lncRNA from 10 species
GUAAGAAGCCGUCUUCCAGGUGGAAAAGGGGAGGAAGGGCAUUUCAGUCCGAAGGAAAAGCUCUUUGCAAAGGCACUGCACUAGGUACUGGAGACGACUCCUGAAACUCCCACUUAAACAGAGGCCAGUACGGAAGAACACAUUGUAUGCUGAAUGUUAGGAAGGAGCAGUCAAGAUGACCAGGAAAAUGCAGAAGGCGGUUAAACCGUCCCGUCCUUCGCAUUCCUGGGCUGGAGGAAUAAGGAUCCAAUUGUGGUUUCUGCGCUGGUUAUCUUGGUGCCGCCGAGGGGGCCACCGGGGAAAAUCUGCUGAAUUCUUCCUUUUCUAUUUUCUGCCUCGGCGAGGAGGAGGGCGUUAAUGCCGGUUGGCAGUUACAUGAAACUGAGAUGGAUGGUAAUGGGGUGUGUUAGCAAACAAGGGCAGGAAAUAAAGUGUCAUAUUUUCUGGAGGGUGAACCGCUCCCCGGAGACAGAGCUGCACCAGGCGUCUGCAGAGGAGACACUUUGAAGGAAAAAAAAAAAAACCCUGUAUAAUCUCUCUCUCUCUUCACUUUCCUGUGCCUCCUUGGUGAGACAUAAAUUCAGUUUUAUCCUCAGUCUAGCUAACAGGCAAAUAACAGGGCACAAAAAAAGAAAAGAAAAACCCACUUGGAUUUCUACUUCAAUGUUCAGUACUUAUUCUCUUGUCUCAAGCUGAGUCUGGAGGUAAAGAGAACUUCAGGACUUGGAGGCAGACUUCACAACAUCAGAGCUACCUGCCUGGAAUCUCGAACUGAGUGUCCCUGGAAUCAACUGUGUGUGGUCAUCAAGGCCCAUCCCCAAUCCUACCCACUUGGCAGAUAGGAAGCCCUGAAGCUGCCUGCUUGCCGUUGCUUUGUACAUGUGGGAAACACCCUCACCCCAUUCCUGCAUUCCCGUCACCCUCCUCCAAGGCACCCUCUCCGAUUCUUUUUGCAAGGACUCAAGACUCCUACUGUCCUGGCAGCCUGCCUCCCCCACUGUCCCUUUCUCUGGAGGAUGAGCUUUUUGAAAGCCUGGCUACUGUCUCAUUCUUCUUUGUAGCCCUAGCACCUGGCACAGUUCCUAGUGCAUUGUUAGGAGGUGCUUAAUAUAUGUUUGUGAGUGAAUAUAUGAUAUCCCGAACUCCUCUGCUAGAAAUAAGGGCCGGUGCAUACUGAACAUAUCAUAUCCCUGUCCUAAAUGCUUUGCAUGCUUUCUCUCAUUUAAUCCUUACAUCAGCCCUGUGAGAUAGGAACUAGAAAUGACGUCAUCAUCGUCAUCAUCAUCAUCAUCAUCAUCCCAUUUUACAGAUUGGAAAGUUUAUCCUUAGCGGGGGCAACCGACUUGCCCACAGUUACAGAACCUGGCAACGGCAGAGCAGGAAGACAGACCCAUCAGUCGAUGCUUCAGACCUCUCUCUCCUUGGGCAGCGUCUAAAUCCCUUGCAUGGCAUUUCACACUUACUAAUUUAUGUUACUGUAAAUACAUUGUGCUCUUGUUUGAUCUCCUUGCAAAAAUGUAAACUCCUUGAGGUCAGCACUGUGGCUAUGGUUUCUCUGUGGCCCUCAAGAGAGAAAAGACCAAAUUAGGGCAGUAGUCUGAGUCCUCUGGAAGUGGGCCUUUGGGUUUGUCUUUGCUUUGGACUGGAUGGAUCUCCAUGGGGCCCGACUACUUCUGAACUGUGGAGUUUGAGUUCCUGGGUGAAAAUUCCAACUCUACUGCUUGCUAAACUGGACUGUCACUUAAGCCUCUCUGGGUCUUGGUUUCCUCAUUUGCAAAAUGGGGGUAAUAGUAGCCCCUACCUCUCAGAGGUAUCAUGAGGAUGAAAUGAAUUAGUGUAUUUGUUUUGAAUGGUGCUUGGCACAAAUCUCCACUAAGUGUUAGUGGUUCUUAUUUUGAGACACUGGACACAGAAUUUGCAUUCUUUGCUGCCACUUGUGACCUGGAUGUUUGUCCUUAUUCAGUUCAUCAAAUGACUGUGGGCCUCAUAACUCCCUCUUUCUCUUUUAAAAAGUCAUUCUUCCAUGAAAAACGAACAGUACACCAAACCAACAACCUUGCACGUUUGAGAAGACAAAGGAAGACAAACAUUUGGCAUCCCACCUUAGGCAUUCACUUCUUGUUGCUUAUUAACAAUAUAUAAAUCAACAAGGAUAUCCAUAUUAGGCUUGAUACUCGAUAUAUUUGGUAUAUGGCUGCUUUGAGUGGACACACGCUCACAAUUAAUGAUGCCAGCCGGCUUCUCCGGAUGGAUAUAAAUACUCUAGGAAGAGAAACCCAAGACCAAAGGCUUGGGACACCCCACGCUGUCAGCACCAGCUCAUGCUCUUCCUGUGGAUGAUGCAGCAUGACCUGACACUUAUUCCUUCCUGAGAGCUGGGUGAACCCACUACAGCCACAUUUUUGUCAGUAUUCCCAGUGGUGUCACGAGACACCACGUUCUCCAAGACCAAAAUGCAUACUGUUGAGUUUUCUUCAGAAAGUGGAUGGAGAGGAAGACUCAGAUCUCUUUGUGGGGGUGGGGACUCAGGCUGCUUGGGAGUGAUUCUCACAGUUACCACUCAGUCUCCAAAUAUUUAGGAACCACUUGCUAUAUUCAUGGACACAGUACUAGGUGUGGGGAUAUUGGUGGGUCCAUCUCCAUGGAGGAUGCAGCCUAACGGGGAAAAAUAAUUACUGUUCUGCUGAGUGUUGGGAAGGAGAAGGAGAAGGCCAGUGUGCUCAGAGUGCUAUGGAGUUUAUAUAGGGGUGAGGGGACCCUAUUUUGGCCCAGAGAUCAGGGAAGGCCUCCAGAGGAUUGCUGUCUGGAAUGAACAGCAGGUAGCUAGGCAGAGAGGAGGUGGAGUGUUCCAAGCUUGUGCUAGACCCUGAAAUUGAACAUGUGGAAGGUUUGAGAAAACAGAGAAAAGCCCUGCAGGGUUGGAGUGGAGAGAACAACAGG